rnacentral:rRNA from 1 species
AGUGAACGCUGGCGGUAGGCCUAACACAUGCAAGUCGAACGGCAGCACAGUAAGAGCUUGCUCUUACGGGUGGCGGGUGGCGGACGGGUGAGGAAUACAUCGGAAUCUACUUUUUCGUGGGGGAUAACGUAGGGAAACUUACGCUAAUACCGCAUACGACCUACGGGUGAAAGCAGGGGAUCUUCGGACCUUGCGCGAUUGAAUGAGCCGAUGUCGGAUUAGCUAGUUGGCGGGGUAAAGGCCCACCAAGGCGACGAUCCGUAGCUGGUCUGAGAGGAUGAUCAGCCACACUGGAACUGAGACACGGUCCAGACUCCUACGGGAGGCAGCAGUGGGGAAUAUUGGACAAUGGGCGCAAGCCUGAUCCGGCCAUACCGCGUGGGUGAAGAAGGCCUUCGGGUUGUAAAGCCCUUUUGUUGGGAAAGAAAAGCAGCAGGUUAAUACCCCGCUGUUCUGACGGUACCCAAAGAAUAAGCACCGGCUAACUUCGUG